GGUUAUAAUUUCUUUCCUUAAAAGAUUAUUCCUUUGCAAAGGUGACCAUGGGUUGGACUGUGAUUUUCUUAGCACUCCUCACUUACUACACAGGCAUUGAUGGUCAGUUAAGUUGGACUCAACCUCCGACAAGUUCUGUAUCCCCGGGUGGAACGAUUACUUUCUCCUGCAGAACUACUCAGACUUCUUACUGUAUUGGCUGGUAUCAACAGAAACCAGGAGAAGCACCUCGCUAUGUUGAAUGUAGCGGAUACAGCAGGGGAGAAGGGAUCCCCGAUCGGUUCACUGCCACCAUGUCUGGGACCACAGGAACUUUGACCAUCACCAACGCACAGGCUGAGGAUGAGGCAGAUUAUUACUGUGGUAGCUGGAACAGUGCACAUACCGUGAUGCACGGUGGUGAAUUCUUAUGGGGAAGUGUGACAAAAACCUCCUCUCUGCCUCCUCAGCCUGAGACAAGAAGCAACCUACCUUGA